GACGAACGCUGGCGGCGUGCUUAACACAUGCAAGUCGAACGGAAAGGCCCUGCUUUUGUGGGGUGCUCGAGUGGCGAACGGGUGAGUAACACGUGAGUAACCUGCCCUUGACUUUGGGAUAACUUCAGGAAACUGGGGCUAAUACCGGAUAGGAGCUCCUGCUGCAUGGUGGGGGUUGGAAAGUUUCGGCGGUUGGGGAUGGACUCGCGGCUUAUCAGCUUGUUGGUGGGGUAGUGGCUUACCAAGGCUUUGACGGGUAGCCGGCAUGAGAGGGUGACCGGCCACAUUGGGACUGAGAUACGGCCCAGACUCCUACGGGAGGCAGCAGUGGGGAAUAUUGCACAAUGGGCGGAAGCCUGAUGCAGCAACGCCGCGUGCGGGAUGACGGCCUUCGGGUUGUGAACCGCUUUCGCCUGUGACGAAGCGUGAGUGACGGUAAUGGGUAAAGAAGCACCGGCUAACUACGUG
rnacentral:rRNA from 1 species